rnacentral:rRNA from 1 species
UACGAAGGGUGCAAGCGUUGUUCGGAAUUACUGGGCGUAAAGAGCGCGUAGGCGGUCUAUUAAGUCAGGCGUGAAAGCCCCGGGCUCAACCUGGGAAUUGCGUUUGAUACUGGUAGGCUUGAGAUUCAGAGAGGUGAGUGGAAUUCCUAGUGUAGCAGUGAAAUGCGUAGAUAUUAGGAGGAACAUCAGUGGCGAAGGCGGCUCACUGGCUGAAUACUGACGCUAAGGCGCGAAAGCGUGGGGAGCAAACAGG